ensembl:lncRNA HRG-AS1 HRG and FETUB antisense RNA 1
UGCCUUGAGCCCAGGAGUUUGAAACUAGCCUAGGCAACAUGACGAAACCCUGCCUCUACAAAAAAAUACAAAAAAUGAGUUGGGUGUGGUAUUGCAGGUGGGAAGAUCAUCUGAGCCCGGAGAGGUGGAGGCUGCUGUCAGUCAAGAUCAUGCCACUGCUCUCCAGCCUGGAUGACAGAAAAACCCUGUCUCAAAAAAAAAAAAAAAAGUACUUAAACACUAAAGAAAAUUGGAAAAGAGACAACAGCCCACAAAGUUGCUUAAAUUGGAAAGCAAAUGGGAAAAUGAUGACAAAAUUAGCAGACGGGAGAAAGCUUAGUCCUAAAAGGGAAGUGAGGAAAGCUGAUAAGCAACCUCAUCUAAGCUGCGGAAAGACCCCAAAGACAAGGAACUGGCGGCACCAUGUGCCUUUGGACAUGGGGACGUGAGAGUAAAACAUGGACGCUGGUUGAAAAUCUGUUGAAAACGCAGUGGAACUUCAGGAAUUUCUUCCCCUGCCACAGAUGGAGUAUCACUCUUGUUGUCCAGGCUGGAGCGCAAUGGUGCGAUCUUGGCUCACCGCAAUCUCUGCCUCCCGGGUUCAAGCAAUUCUCCUGCCUCAGCCUCCGAGUAGCUGGGAUUACAGGUUGCUGGCAGAGGUGGUUGGGGCUAUGUGCCUGGAGUGAAGAUUCUGCCCAUUGGUCAAGAGACCUCCCUCUCAGAUGCUGGCUCUGCCCCUGCCUUUGGGGGUCGACCCUUGUACU